ensembl:snoRNA
AUCCUUUUGCAACUUAUGUGUGAUGAUUGGUAUUUAUACUCACGUGCGAGAUAUGCUGCCCUCCAACCUUGUUACCACAUUUGCACAUUACCCGUCUGAUG